AAGCUUUUGUUUUGGGGAAUUCCGUUCCGUUUCGUUCCACGGAGUGCCGCUCCUGGUGAUCUAGUGGCACUCCGUGGAACGAAACGGAACGGUUCCACGAUUAUUAACGA
rnacentral:pre_miRNA from 1 species